rnacentral:rRNA from 1 species
UACGUAGGGUGCAAGCGUUAUCCGGAAUUAUUGGGCGUAAAGAGCUCGUAGGCGGUUUGUCACGUCUGCUGUGAAAACUGGAGGCUCAACCUCCAGCCUGCAGUGGGUACGGGCAGACUAGAGUGCGGUAGGGGAGAUUGGAAUUCCUGGUGUAAGCGGUGGAAUGCGCAGAUAUCAGGAGGAACACCGAUGGCGAAGGCAGAUCUCUGGGCCGUAACUGACGCUGAGGAGCGAAAGCAUGGGGAGCGAACAGG